rnacentral:rRNA from 1 species
CAAUAGCGUAUAUUAAAGUUGUUGCAGUUAAAAAGCUCGUAGUUGGAUUUCUGGUGGGAGCGAUCGGUCUGGCGCUUAGCGCGAGUACUUGCAUCGUCUCCGGCCAUCCUUGGGGAGAGUCUGUCUGGCAUUAAGUUGUCGGGCAGAGGAUCCUCAUCGUUUACUGUGAAAAAAUUAGAGUGUUCAAAGCAGGCUUAUGCCGUUGAAUAUAUUAGCAUGGAAUAAUAAGAUAGGACUUUAGUACUAUUUUGUUGGUUUGCGCACCAAAGUAAUGAUUAAUAGGGACAGUUGGGGGUAUUCGUAUUCCGUUGUCAGAGGUGAAAUUCUUGGAUUUACGGAAGACGAACUACUGCGAAAGCAUUUACCAAGGAUGUUUUCAUUAA